rnacentral:rRNA from 1 species
UGAGCAAUCUGCCCUUCUCUUCGGAAUAAGCGUGGGAAGCCGCGUCUAAUGCCGAAUACGACCUCCUUUCGCAUGAUCGGAGGUGGAAAGCUCCGGCGGAGAAGGAUGAGCUCGCGGCCUAUCAGCUAGUUGGUGUGGGUAAUGGCCCACCAAGGCGACGACGGGUAGCCGGCCUGAGAGGGUGACCGGCCACACUGGGACUGAGACGCGGCCCAGACUCCGUACGGGAGCAG